GAUUAGUAAUAUAUUAAUUUAAUCAUUAAAGGUAGUCAGUAACUGCGUGCGUUAUACAUAUAUUUUCAAGUUUAAUUUUUGUCUUACUAAUAUACAUACAUGAUAAAGCUCAAGCUAAAAUAAGUUUAUUCAAGCGUUUAAGCUAUUAGCCAGACCUAUAUACAUAUAUGUACAAGAACUGUAAGAAAUUUUGUGAAAGUGGCUUGCGAAAAAAAACAAACAGAUCGCUUCGUAGCGGCAAUUAAGAUUGCUUCGUAGGGGUAACUUCAGACAUGGCCUGUUCUGUUGGGCCAUAACAGAGGGUUACUUUAAAUUGUCGGCUCGAGUGGGGAAAGAAUUUGGUAAGAUACUGGGUGCUAUGUAAAUACCAGGUAAAUUCAGAACCAAGUACUAACUUUUAUUACAGGAGUGAAAUGGAAAGAAUAAGCUAAAGAUAGCCUAACUCAGCAACCUUUAAUAUAUUACUCAGACACAUAUUUGCUGUUUAUUUAGCGUUUGCCUCUAAAUCACCGCCUUUGAAAUCAAUAGGCAGUGAUGUGUUGUUGCCAUAUCAAUUUCUAAAAGUAAAAGUUGAUAUAAAAAUAGUGUUUUUCAAACUAAGCAAUAUCUUAAGGCUUACAAUAAAACGAACGUAUAUAGUCGUACCGAAUUUAUUUUGCAAACAUGAAGUUGGUCAAGUGCAAUCAAUUACACAGUUUAAAAAAUACCUCUAAUACAAAGUAUAACAAUACUUGAAUAUAUGCUAUAGAGGGUGUUAUAACAGAAAAAAAUAAUAAGCAGUAGAAUAUGAUCGCCGUUUACAAUUAAAAGAAAAUAUGAUUUAAAAAUUGUGGCCUUCUAUGGAAAGUUUUUGUUAUCAAUGGGUUAAAGUGUUUUUCACUCAAUAAUAUGUAGUAUGUGUAAUAAUAUGUGUAGAGCACCAAUUCAAGUUAAACUUGUUAUUGAUUUUUGUGUUUGUUAUUGUUUUGUAUUUUUUAUGACUCUGUAAGCAUUGUCUAUAAAAUUGUACAAUUUUCCAUGAUAAAAAGCAUAUUUCUAUUCUAA